rnacentral:rRNA from 1 species
CCCUUAGAUGUUCUGGGCUGCACGCGCGCUACACUGAUGCAUCCAGCGAGUUGUAACCUUGCUUGGUAAAGUUUGGUAAUCUGAGCCUAAUGUGCAUCGUGAUGGGAAUAGAGUUUUGCAACUAUUAGUCUUGAACGAGGAAUUCCUCGUAAGCACGAGUCAUCAGCUUGUGCUGAUUACGUCCCUGCCCUUUGUACACACCGCCCGUCGCUCCUACCGAUUGAAUGGUUUAGUGAGGCCUCGGGACUGGCGCGCUCGAGUAGCAAUACACCUGCGCGCCGGGAACUUGGUCAAACUUGAUCAUUUAGAGGAAGUAAAANUCGUANCA